UGAGCCUGCAUGUUGAACAGACCAGAUU
rnacentral:piRNA from 1 species